rnacentral:pre_miRNA from 1 species
AUGACCAUCUAAAGACAUCUUUGAAUUCUUGGAGUAAUUCCAUGAGGUCUCGUCUUGUCUUUGCAGAGAUCUCAGUUCCAAUUUUCACCUCUUUCCCUUCUUCCAAGCUCACAACUUCUAUUGCUUCCUUGUGAGGUAGAAUUUGUUUUUCUUCCUAUUCUACCAUCCUUAUCAAAUCCAAAGAUAAACCACCAUCUAUGUCACCUUCAAAGUCCUGCGAUCCCUCUAAACACAUGUUUCAUUCAAAAGAAAACUCUGAGUUUGUAGCGGCGUCAUUCACGUCAUUGAUAUACACGGACCUAAUAUGGUUACAAAAGAAUGUAUGAAUUUAUGUACAAUUAUUUGUGCAAUAUGAUUAUAAAUGAAAGAAUAAUUUAAGGUAUUUACUCGUAUAGAAAGAAUAAAGAAUAUUUGCUCGAAGAAUUGCAAAGAUGUGUUUUAUUAAAAUA